GAGUUUGAUCAUGGCUCAGAUUGAACGCUGGCGGCAGGCUUAACACAUGCAAGUCGAGCCCGGGGGAAGGUAGCUUGCUACCGGACCUAGCGGCGGACGGGUGAGUAAUGCUUAGGAAUCUGCCUAUUAGUGGGGGACAACAUCUCGAAAGGGAUGCUAGGAUACCGCAUACGUCCUACGGGAGAAAGCAGGGGAUCUUCGGACCUUGCGCUAAUAGAUGAGCCUAAGUCGGAUUAGCUAGUUGGUGGGGUAAAGGCCUACCAAGGCGACGAUCUGUAGCGGGUCUGAGAGGAUGAUCCGCCACACUGGGACUGAGACACGGCCCAGACUCCUACGGGAGGCAGCAGUGGGGAAUAUUGGACAAUGGGGGGAACCCUGAUCCAGCCAUGCCGCGUGUGUGAAGAAGGCCUUAUGGUUGUAAAGCACUUUAAGCGAGGAGGAGGCUACUUUAGUUAAUACCUAGAGAUAGUGGACGUUACUCGCAGAAUAAGCACCGGCUAACUCUGUGCCAGCAGCCGCGGUAAUACAGAGGGUGCGAGCGUUAAUCGGAUUUACUGGGCGUAAAGCGUGCGUAGGCGGCUUAUUAAGUCGGAUGUGAAAUCCCCGAGCUUAACUUGGGAAUUGCAUUCGAUACUGGUGAGCUAGAGUAUGGGAGAGGAUGGUAGAAUUCCAGGUGUAGCGGUGAAAUGCGUAGAGAUCUGGAGGAAUACCGAUGGCGAAGGCAGCCAUCUGGCCUAAUACUGACGCUGAGGUACGAAAGCAUGGGGAGCAAACAGGAUUAGAUACCCUGGUAGUCCAUGCCGUAAACGAUGUCUACUAGCCGUUGGGGCCUUUGAGGCUUUAGUGGCGCAGCUAACGCGAUAAGUAGACCGCCUGGGGAGUACGGUCGCAAGACUAAAACUCAAAUGAAUUGACGGGGGCCCGCACAAGCGGUAAGGAGCAUGUGGUUUAAUUCGAUGCAACGCGAAGAACCUUACCUGGCCUUGACAUACUAGAAGCACUUUCCAGAGAUGGAUUGGUGCCUUCGGGAAUCUAGAUACAGGUGCUGCAUGGCUGUCGUCAGCGCGUGUCGUGAGAUGUUGGGUUAAGUCCCGCAACGAGCGCAACCCUUUUCCUUACUUGCCAGCAUUUCGGAUGGGAACUUUAAGGAUACUGCCAGUGACAAACUGGAGGAAGGCGGGGACGACGUCAAGUCAUCAUGGCCCUUACGGCCAGGGCUACACACGUGCUACAAUGGUCGGUACAAAGGGUUGCUACACAGCGAUGUGAUGCUAAUCUCAAAAAGCCGAUCGUAGUCCGGAUUGGAGUCUGCAACUCGACUCCAUGAAGUCGGAAUCGCUAGUAAUCGCGGAUCAGAAUGCCGCGGUGAAUACGUUCCCGGGCCUUGUACACACCGCCCGUCACACCAUGGGAGUUUGUUGCACCAGAAGUAGCUAGCCUAACUGCAAAGAGGGCGGUUACCACGGUGUGGCCGAUGACUGGGGUGAAGUCGUAACAAGGUA
rnacentral:rRNA from 1 species